CAAUAACCUCAACGCUUACUAUGGGUUUAACUGUAACUCAAUUACUGUAGUUUACCUCAGUAACUCUAGUUUUACUGUGGUAUUUGUAGUUAAAAUAACAACAACAUCUGCACAGUAAAAACAACACCUACAAUGUUUUUACCACAUUAACCUUUUUAACUGUAUGCUAUUCGUAAAGCACAGUAAUGACAAUGCUUGCCACGCCUUUAAUACGGUUUUGUGAAGUAAUUGUAAUUCAAUAUUUUGUUUCUGUCUUGCAGUUACAUCGGAUCACACAGCGGCUCUUUUAAGAAGCCAUCUCUUGUAAAGAAAGCUGCUAGAAUUAACAGGGAACUUGGACUUGAACCUCCCAAUGCUGGUCUUGAAGAAGCUGUCAAGGAGGCUGAACAAGUCAUUCAAAGCUGAAAGUGAAGACCAGAGGAAGGCCUGUCAUGGGAUUUGAAUUAGGCCAUAUUGUGCGUUUACGGAGAACACCAAAAGCUGCAAAGGCAAACAUUCCCAAUGGAUUUCUCACAGAUUACUUGGUCCUUCUCCAUCAGCUCUCUACAAUAUCAGCCCUUCCAAAAACGUCCACAUCUCUCUCUCAUGUGGCACAUCUGCUCUCGCUCCUUUAUUGCCAACUUCCAGUCUUAGCAAAAUUAUAACUGUCUAAAAAAAAAUAUAUAACUGUUAACUUUUUUAAUUGGUCCUGCAUUUAGUCACAAUAGAAGCAAACAGUGAUUACAGGAGAAUAAUAAUUGUAAUAUUUAAUUUUUUUUUUUUUUUUUAUUAAAAGCAAGAAAAUAAUAAUUUCAACUGGAGCCUCGAAGCUCCCAGUUUGUAAAAUAUUAAUUGCCAUUUUAUGACAUUUUCUGUAAACAAAUUCUAUUUUUAUUUUUUAAUCCAUUUAAUAAUGGAUAAUGUAGUUACAUAUUUGUUUCCAUGAACCCAUUAUUUACUUUAUCA